rnacentral:lncRNA from 1 species
AGGGGCGGGGGGUGUAUUUGGAAGGCGAUUAGAGGGUGGUACUGUGAUGAUAGGGGUCCUUAGAGUACCACUGCAGAACUGAAUCAUCGAUGGUGGUCCAAGUUUUUGUUAUGCCUGUAGGUUUUUGGGGUGUUCCUGAGAUAUUGGAUGGACAAGUGAUAAAAAUAGAAUGCAGAAAGUUGUAUGCUUGGGAGGUCAUGAUAUUUAUGAGUAUUCCUUCAAUUUCUGGUUUUCUAAUGGGCUUGCUGCAUACUAUUGAGGCGAUGAAAAGGGAGAGUGGAGUGAAUUUUC